GAUGAACGCUGGCGGCGUGCCUAACACAUGCAAGUCGAACGGAGUAUUAUGAAGCCUUCGGGCGGAUUAAUACUUAGUGGCGGACGGGUGAGUAACGCGUGGGUAACCUGCCUCAUACAGGGGGAUAACAGCCGGAAACGGCUGCUAAAACCGCAUAACAUUGCGACACCGCAUGGUGAUGCAAUUAAAUAUUUAUAGGUAUGAGAUGGGCCCGCGUCUGAUUAGCUAGUUGGUAGGGUAACGGCCUACCAAGGCGACGAUCAGUAGCCGGCUUGAGAGAGUGACCGGCCACAUUGGGACUGAGACACGGCCCAAACUCCUACGGGAGGCAGCAGUGGGGAAUAUUGCACAAUGGGGGAAACCCUGAUGCAGCGACGCCGCGUGAGUGAAGAAGUAUUUCGGUAUGUAAAGCUCUAUCAGCAGGGAAGAAAAUGACGGUACCUGACUAAGAAGCCCCGGCUAACUAUGUGCCAGCCGCCGCCGUAAUAC
rnacentral:rRNA from 1 species